rnacentral:rRNA from 1 species
GACGAAUGCUGGCGGCGUGCUUAACACAUGCACGUCGAACGGUGAACAGGAGCUUGCUCCUGGGAUCAGUGGCGAACGGGUGAGUAACACGUGGGCAACCUGCCCCUCACUCUGGGAUAACUCCGGGAAACCGGGGCUAAUGCCGGAUACGACCUGGAGCGACAUCUCUCCAGGUGGAAAGAACUUCGGUGAGGGAUGGGCCAGCGGCCUAUCAGCUAGUUGGUGGGGUAACGGCCUACCAAGGCGACGACGGGUAGCCGGCCUGAGAGGGCGACCGGCCACGCUGGGACAGAGACACGACCCAGACUCCUACGGGAGGCAGAAGUGGAGAAUAUUGCGCAAUGGGCGAAAGCCUGACGCAGCGACGCCGCGUGAGGGACGACGGCCUUCGGGUUGUAAACCUCUUUCAGCAGGGACGAAGCGAAAGUGACGGUACCUGCAGAAGAAGCACCGGCUAACUACGUGCCAGCCGCCGCCGUAACAC